UGCAACACAUUUCACACGAAAUGCAUUGUGCUUAUCGAUGACAUUUUGACAUUGAGUGUUCGUGGUUUUUGACGUUGCUACAAAAUUACUCGUAAAUACAAAGUUAACCUGUGAAGUUGUAAAACGGUAACAAUAAGCUAAAUUAAUGAACUCAUCAGCUUGUUGGAGGAGUAACGAACGGCGAUGUGAAGUAAUCGUCGAUGCAGUUAUUCCGAACAAACAAUUAGAAGCGCAACUGAAGUAGACGCAGAAGAAAAGUAGGUUUGCAUUGUAAAAAUAAACAAAUGAAGUGAACUUAAGUGAACUGCAUGAAGAUACGAGUGCAUCGUACACAGCAGCUGCAAGAAGCAAGAAGCAACAGUCGAGUUCAGUAAAACAAAGUGUUCAUUCAUGAUGUCGAUUGAAAAUCCAGAACAAGUACUUGAUCCUGAUUUAUAUCAACAAUUACACCCGUCAGCACGCUAAGUUUCAGGAUGUAGACAAUGUGGAUGUUGAUGAGUGUCGAGAGCGACCACACAGCAUCAUAAAAACAAAUCAAAAUGAGUCGAAGUGAUUCACCUGUGUGCACACAGUUCAUUAUUCAAGCAAGGUCGCGAGAGUAAAUUCGCAAUUCAAAUUGAAUAAAUGCGAAAUAAGGGUCAGCAGGGUCAACGAAGUCGACAGCGCAGAUCACACUCGUUGCACAAUCCGCAUAUAUUAGUUUCUGUUGUAUUCGCCGUGGCGCUAUCGAGAUGUCGACGUAAUGAAACGUAACACGUUUUUAAUUCAUAGUGUUACGAAAUGCGCGAACAAAACGUAUCGAAAAAUCAGCGUCGUCGAAGAUAGAAGAAGGAAGAAACGAGGAUGAACCAUUUGAUGAGUGUUUUUAGUUGGACUACUCGAUGAGCAUGGUAAUUUCGUGUUUGAUCAAAUGUUAUACACGCAAGGAAAUUAAGCUAUUACUGUGGGAUUCAUCUCCAAGCACCGAACGUGAUUACCAAUAUAAUUACAUUUUUAAAACAAUCACAGAUAAAUAAAAUCAUUCGUUGACCUAAUUUAUUUUGUAUUGUGUGUCACAUGGCAUUGUCUUCUUGUGCAUUUUCAUUUAGAUGUACCUAUAAAUAUUUCAUCGUUAUGUUAACAAACUGCGCCGGUGUUGUUUCAUCUCUUGAACAAUAAACGCAUAAACAAUAA